UACGUAGGUGGCAAGCGUUGUCCGGAAUUACUGGGCGUAAAGGGCGCGUAGGCGGAUAGUUUAGUCAGAGGUGAAAGCCCAGGGCUCAACCCUGGAAUUGCCUUUGAUACUGGCUAUCUUGAGUUCGGGAGAGGUGAGUGGAACUCCGAGUGUAGAGGUGAAAUUCGUAGAUAUUCGGAAGAACACCAGUGGCGAAGGCGACUCACUGGCCCGAUACUGACGCUGAGGCGCGAAAGCGUGGGGAGCAAACAGG
rnacentral:rRNA from 1 species